rnacentral:sRNA from 1 species
AAACGUAAUCUCUCUCCCCCUUCUCAAACAAAGUCAUUAUCAAAGAGAAGGAGAAACAGGGUUUUUUUUUUUUUUUUUUUUUUUAACUAACCCGCCGCCUCUGUUCCUUCUUCUCCUCCUUUGCUCUCUUCUCCGCAUUCUCCUGCGCCUGCUUAGCGCGCUCGAGCUUGCGUUUAUGGAAACCUGUCAGAAACUCCGCCCGCGCCUGGGGAUCGAAGAGGAUCUCCUGUACAGCGUUGGGGUGCGAGGCGGUCAGUUUUCGCCUUUUGGCCGAAGGCGCCAUUUUGUGCUUUCCGAUUGUGUUUAGGUGGCUAUUUUCAAUUGCUUGGGUUUUUGUCGGUUCCGCAGGCAAAUAUCGGGUAUUAGAUACGUAUGGGAUU